rnacentral:lncRNA from 10 species
CAUCAGAAUCCAAACAAAAGGACGAAGAAGAAAAUUCUUGGGAUUUAGAGAGUGACCGUGAGACUGUUUCACAGAAGGAUGUGUGUUUACCCAAGGCUACACCUCAAAAAGAAUUCCGUACGAUAAGUGGAAAAUUAGAAGAUCAGAUGAUCCCAUCAGAAUCCAAACAAAAGGACGAGGAAGAAAAUUCUUGGGAUCUAGAGAGUGACCGUGAGACUGCUUCACAGAAGGAUGUGUGUUUACCCAAGGCUACGCCUCAAGAAGAAUUCCACACGAUAAGUGGAAAAUUAGAAGAUCAGAUGAUCCCAUCAGAAUCCAAACAAAAGGAAGAGGAAGAAAAUUCUUGGGAUUUAGAGAGUGCCCAUGAGACUGUUUCACAGAAGGAUGUGCGUUUACCCGAGGCUACACCUCAGAAAGAAUUCCACAUGAUAAGUGGAAAAUUAGAAGGUAAGAACCAUUUUUUAUUGAAAAAGUCAUUGGACCAAAUAUUUCUCUAAACUGAUGAGGAAGGACAUCCUCUAAUAAUCAAAGAAAAUUACCUCCUAAAUACAAAGCAUGGAAAAAAAGAGAAGUGAAUUGGUGAUAAGUUAUACGUCUUAUCAUGUGUUGGUAACAGACUCUAUUGAGGGUGCUGAAAAGGAGGUGAAUUAUUAGUUUGAAUUCAAGAUAUUCCAAGACCUGAGUGAAAUGAGAAAAUAAGAAAGAAGAAAGUGGUAAAAGAGGAAAUGAAGACUGAGAAAGAGCAUACAGAAAGUACAUGAAGGAAUAAGAAGCAGGUUUAUAUCAUGGAGGAUGAUAAAAUGAAAUUAUUCUUUUCAAAAAGAUCGGAUAUGGUUAGAAAUUUGGAGAAAUAUAAAGUGACAUUCUAGUACCAAAAUGUACCAGAGAUUACAGCAAAAGUAUUCUGACUUUUCCUGUCUUUCUCACUGGUGGGAAGCCAUUAGGGAUGGAAGCACCUGACCAUGGGGAGCUGUAUUCUAUUUGCAAUAGGUGAGACUAAGCAUAUAUGCACGGCCAC